CAGCAAAGGAGUCCGUGGCGGACCCGCCCUCAAGCCGCCAGAUCCGCCUGACUGUCAGAUUCGUUUUCGCUGCGCUAACAGGAUCGGCCCCGCCUCCAGGAUCGGCCCCGCCUGCGCUUUUAAUCAGCGGACCCAGAACAGAUCACAUACGGAUCCGCACUUCGGACGCGCCUUAGAUAACCGCCGUGUGGGAAUUAGUCGGGAUCUCCUUCGCGUGAAGUUCGGCUGCCAAAUUUCUUCUUUGGCCACGAUUGGUGAAGAGAGUGGCGUGGAACAUCCUCUCUCGGAUGUUCACAGAAGAAGUGGCCAAGACCAUAAGCUCGAAGGGGGCAAAUGGCAAGAGGGCAUUCAGUCACAUGUCGUCGAAGACACUAAUGUACCGUGCUGUACGUGCAAAUAGUUUGUGUCGCACAGCCACAGACAUUCAACGUUAUGCCAU